GAUGAACGCUGGCGGCGUGCCUAAUACAUGCAAGUCGAGCGGUAAGGCUUUCACUCUGUAUUUAAUGAGUUGAAUAUAGUGUGAAAGUACACGAGCGGCGGACGGCUGAGUAACGCGUAGGAACGUACCCCAAAGUGAGGGAUAAGCACCGGAAACGGUGUCUAAUACCGCAUGUGAUCUUCGGAUUAAAGCUUUAUGCGCUUUGGGAGCGGCCUGCGUAAGAUUAGUUUGUUGGUGAGGUAAUGGCUCACCAAGACUACGAUCUUUAGCUGGUCUGAGAGGAUGAUCAGCCAGACUGGGACUGAGACACGGCCCAGACUCCUACGGGAGGCAGCAGUAGGGAAUUUUCCACAAUGGACGAAAGUCUGAUGGAGCAACGCCGCGUGCAGGAUGAAGGCCUUCGGGUUGUAACUAGCUUUAUCUGUGACGAUUAUGACGGUAGCAGAUGAAUAAGGAUCGGCUAACUCCGUGCCAGCAGCCGCGGU
rnacentral:rRNA from 1 species